GCUACAGAAAGGCACCGGAGUAGGUGCGUGAAGGUGGCACGCAGUCGAACAGUGUGUGCCGAAGAACAAGGAAAUAUAAUACAAUCAAAGAAAAACUGCACAAAAAGACAGAAGAACAGCCAAUGCGCAAAAGAAGACAAUCUGUGCAAAUUAAAGAGUAAAUAAAUAAGUAAUACUAAGAACAUGAGUUGCAGAGACUUGAAAGUGAGUCUGUAGGUUGUGGAAUCUGUUCACAGUUGAGAUGGUUGAAGUUAUCCAUGCUAGCUCAGGAGCCUGAUGGUUGAAGGGUAAUAACUGUGUUCCUAAACCUGGAGGUGUGGGACCUAAGGCUCCUUGCCGAUGGCAGCAGUGAGAAGAAAGCAUGGCUUGGAUGCUUCACAAAUAAACUGAAAAAUAUUUGGAGCGACCAUUAAAUAGAAAAUAAACACAUUCCAAAGAACAGAGGGAAAGAAAAGAUGAAUGGGUGGAACCUCACAUUCAGACAACUUCUUAAAGAGAC